UACGGGGGGGGCAAGCGUUGUUCGGAAUUACUGGGCGUAAAGGGCUCGUAGGUGGCCAACUAAGUCGGACGUGAAAUCCCUCGGCUUAACCGGGGAACUGCGUCCGAUACUGGUUGGCUUGAGUUUGGGAGAGGGAUGCGGAAUUCCAGGUGUAGCGGUGAAAUGCGUAGAUAUCUGGAGGAACACCAGCGGCGAAGGCGGCAUCCUGGACUGAUCCUGACACUCAUGAGCGAAAGCGUGGGGAGCGAUCCGG
rnacentral:rRNA from 1 species